AGAACGAACGCUGGCGGCGUGGAUAAGACAUGCAAGUCGAACGCUGACUUUCAGGUAGCAAUAUUUGGAAGUCGGAGUGGCGCAAGGGUGUGUAACACGUGGGUAAUCUGCCGUGAAGACUGGGAUAACUCGCUGAAAGGCGAGUUAAUACCGGAUGUGAAUGUAAAUUCAAAGUUGGGGACCGCAAGGCCUGACGCUUUACGAUAAGCCCGCGGCCUAUCAGCUAGUUGGUGAGGUAACGGCUCACCAAGGCUAAGACGGGUAGC
rnacentral:rRNA from 1 species